GCAAUCCAUCCUAGCGGUAGAAAGGUUCCGGCUCGUGUUGAUAGCUAGUGAAAUAUAUGCCACAGAAGUCUUCACUGUUUAAAUUGAUACGCUGAUGAUUUUUACUGCUACAUUUACUUUAAUUCACCAUACUGACAAUCAGAUGUACGAAGCCAUUUCGCGUUGAACUCAGUUAGAGCAAAAACUAAACUGCACGUGUCUUUGUUGUUAAAUAAGGUUAGCCAGCUAGCCAUUGCUAGCACCAGAAGUAAAUAGAAGAAAAACACAGACACACCAUGGGAGAGAAUGUCAAAGGAGCUGGGGUGUUUCUCGAACUAAGGAAGCGGUUGCAAAGUGGUCUUCUUGUUCUCAGGAGAGAUGUGGCUAAGAGCUAUGCAGAGGUGAGCGUUACAGGAGGAGAUACAUCCCUCCACAUCCGGACUCCUCGGGGCCUGCUAAUCGUGGAGUUGCCAGCAGGGGUCAGCCUCGUGGAGGGCUCCUGCAGGGACGCACCUGGAGCAGGAGACGAGAUGCACUUCAGAAUGCGCCUCAAAGUGGACCAGCACACAGACGACACAGGUGCCCUGGGGAGUGUGAUGGAGAGGCUGCAGGUCCAAGAGAGUUAUUGCUUCCACUGCCAGUCCUGUGGGACCAGGGUGCUUGAGGAGAGGGUGUUCAAGCGAGUGCUCCCUCUCCCCAACGGCAACUGGAGCUCCCUGGUGGAUGACUGGUGCUGCCAUCCGGACCCCUUUGCCAACCUGAAGCUGCUGCCCAGAGCGGAGGACUGUUUACUGGGCGACACUCACCUCCUUGUGCCCCGGGACAGAGGCUGUGAGGAGACUCUCACCCAGGAGCUCAGCCCCAGCCCCAUCACCAACAAAAUGGCUGACGGUCAAAAUCAGCACACAGGGAAACCCAACCGCAGGCGAACACUUGUCUCCUGUAAGAGCUGUACAGCCGGCCUGGGAGAGGCUGUGGCACCAGGGACCCUGAAACUCUACAUCACAGAGGUGACAGUGAGACCCAGUGUGGGAGACAGCCAGUUUGAUACCUCUCUAGACAGGUCACUGUUCCUGGAACAGACCAUAGCUGCCAGACUGGUGGAGCUGUCCUCGUCGCAGAGCAUGUUUCGUUUCUCUAUCCAGACCCCAGAUGGAAAAGCCUUCAUAUUGCUCUGGCUCCUGAACAGCGACUCCCUCAUCGCCUCUCUCUCUGCCACUCCGUCAUCGACUGUCAGCGGUGAUGCUGUCACCUCUCCUAGCCACCGCCAGUGUUCUGAGAGUCAAUCACCAACUAAGGCUGACAGCGCCGUCAAAGUCCUCUAUCUCUCCUGUUCUCCCUCUGCCAGCACUAGCAGCACACACCAGGAUGUUGUGAACACCUGGGAGAAGGACAUCGGUGUCCACACCCUAGACCUGCCCCUGACCACAUGCCAGGAGCUAUUGUCAGUGCUGACAGCUAGUACUUCCUGUCUCCCUCCGUCGCUGCAUUCCAUGAACUCCUACCAGGGGAGGAGGAACUCAUUUUGACUCUGGCAGAAGCUAUCAAUUCCACUUAGAGGGAGGGGAGAGAGAGAGAAUUGAAAAAGUGGCAUACAUGAGACUGUAAUGUCAGAGGUCAAGAGCCAUGGAUCCACUCAUCUUUCCUAGAGGGAGGACCAGCAGAAGAAGCACUCGAACAGUAGAGUACAGUGACUUAUCUGUCUUAGGCUGUGUUCAAGAGGCAUGUAAGGGAAAACCAAGUUCUAUUGACGAAGUUCAGGUAGUACGUACCUCUGUGUCGAGCAUUUCCAAAAAGAACACUCAUUUCAUUAUACAUUUAAAGGUUUUUUCAAUUUGGACCUACUGAACAUGACCCUGAUAGCUGCUAUUAAAAUACUUAUAACUAAUCA